GACGAACGCUGGCGGCGUGCCUAAUACAUGCAAGUUGAGCGCUGAAGGUUGGUACUUGUACCAACUGGAUGAGCAGCGAACGGGUGAGUAACGCGUGGGGAAUCUGCCUUUGAGCGGGGGACAACAUUUGGAAACGAAUGCUAAUACCGCAUAAAAACUUUAAACACAAGUUUUAAGUUUGAAAGAUGCAAUUGCAUCACUCAAAGAUGAUCCCGCGUUGUAUUAGCUAGUUGGUGAGGUAAAGGCUCACCAAGGCGAUGAUACAUAGCCGACCUGAGAGGGUGAUCGGCCACAUUGGGACUGAGACACGGCCCAAACUCCUACGGGAGGCAGCAGUAGGGAAUCGUCGGCAAUGGACGAAAGUCUGACCGAGCAACGCCGAGUGAGUGAAGAAGGUUUUCGGAUCGUAAAACUCUGUUGGUAGAGAAGAACGUUGGUGAGAGUGGAAAGCUCAUCAAGUGACGGUAACUACCCAGAAAGGGACGGCUAACUACGUG
rnacentral:rRNA from 1 species